AUUGAACGCUGGCGGCAUGCCUUACACAUGCAAGUCGAACGGUAACAGGUCUUCGGAUGCUGACGAGUGGCGAACGGGUGAGUAAUACAUCGGAACGUGCCCGAUCGUGGGGGAUAACGAAGCGAAAGCUUUGCUAAUACCGCAUACGAUCUACGGAUGAAAGCAGGGGACCGCAAGGCCUUGCGCGAACGGAGCGGCCGAUGGCAGAUUAGGUAGUUGGUGGGAUAAAAGCUUACCAAGCCGACGAUCUGUAGCUGGUCUGAGAGGACGACCAGCCACACUGGGACUGAGACACGGCCCAGACUCCUACGGGAGGCAGCAGUGGGGAAUUUUGGACAAUGGGCGAAAGCCUGAUUCAGCCAUGCCGCGUGCAGGAUGAAGGCCUUCGGGUUGUAAACUGCUUUUGUGCGGAACGAAAAGACUCUGGUUAAUACCUGGGGUCCAUGACGGUACCGUAAGAAUAAGCACCGGCUAACUACGUGCCAGCAGCCGCCGUAACAC
rnacentral:rRNA from 1 species